CUACGGGGGGCUGCAGUGGGGAAUAUUGCACAAUGGGCGCAAGCCUGAUGCAGCCAUGCCGCGUGUAUGAAGAAGGCCUUCGGGUUGUAAAGUACUUUCAGCGGGGAGGAAGGGAGUAAAGUUAAUACCUUUGCUCAUUGACGUUACCCGCAGAAGAAGCACCGGCUAACUCCGUGCCAGCAGCCGCGGUAAUACGGAGGGUGCAAGCGUUAAUCGGAAUUACUGGGCGUAAAGCGCACGCAGGCGGUUUGUUAAGUCAGAUGUGAAAUCCCCGGGCUCAACCUGGGAACUGCAUCUGAUACUGGCAAGCUUGAGUCUCGUAGAGGGGGUAGAAUUCCAGGUGUAGCGGUGAAAUGCGCAGAGAUCUGGAGGGAUACCGGUGGCGAAGGCGGCCCCCUGGACGAAGACUGACGCUCAGGUGCGAAAGCGUGGGGAGCAAACAGGAUUAGAUACCCGUGUAGUC
rnacentral:rRNA from 1 species